rnacentral:rRNA from 1 species
AAUCAACGCUGGCGGCGUGCCUAACACAUGCAAGUCGAGCGCGAAAGGGGAGCAAUCCCCAAGUAGAGCGGCGAACGGGUGAGUAACGCGUGGGUGAUCUACCUUCGAGUGGGAACAACAGUGGGAAACUGCUGCUAAUACCGCAUGACAUCUUCGGGUCACAUCGAAGAUCAAAGCCGGGGACCGCAAGGCCUGGCGCUUGAAGAGGAGCCCGCGUCCGAUUAGCUAGUUGGCGGGGUAAUGGCCCACCAAGGCUUCGAUCGGUAGCCGGCCUGAGAGGGCGGACGGCCACACUGGGACUGAGACACGGCCCAGACUCCUACGGGAGGCAGCAGUGGGGAAUAUUGGGCAAUGGGCGUCAGCCUGACCCAGCCAUGCCGCGUGUGCGACGAAGGCCCUCGGGUCGUAAAGCACUUUUAUUCGGGAAGACACGCGGGGUGCGCCCCGCUAUGACGGUACCGAAGGAAUAAGCACCGGCUAACUCCGUGCCAGCAGCCGCGGUAAU